rnacentral:lncRNA from 1 species
UAACUACUCUUGCAGAUCUAGUGAGAUUUGGAGCCACUAUUAUUCAGCAAGAGAUGUCAGGGAAGAGAGGUAGUGGAUGACUGAGGAGCAUAAGGUUAACCAUCAACCUCUAAGUGACAUUUCCAAGAUUGUGAAGAAUGUGUGGUGAGGAAAAGCUCAACACAGCUCAGCUAUUUUCUUCUCCUCAGACCAGGUCAAAAGACUGAGAAUAACCAAACCAAUUCACUCAACUCUGUUGGGAUGGAAAGACUAAUGUUCACUGACUACUGCAUGCAUGCUGCUAGCAAGAGUUACAUCCUCUAAUAACUCAGUAUCUAACAUAUAUGGCUUCAGCAAGAAGUACACUUGAUCUUGGUAUACAUGCACAUUCCUAACAUCAUCCCAGCAUUUUGACUAAAGCAGUUUUAAAUUUAUCUGGACCUGAAUAGUGGCAGCAAUUCCAAAUAAGAAAAAGAGAGAGAAAAGUAUGCAUCAAGAAACACACUCCUGGAUCACAUAAGGUUUUCAACAGAUGGGAAAAUGGACAGAAAAAUGAAGCAUGAAAUUUGAUGUUACUGAGUAGAAGGAAAUAUUUUGGUUUUAUUGUCAGUUCCUCAUGCUACUUAGCAGAAGAGAAAGGGGUCUAAAAAUAAACUGAUGUAUUAGAGCUAUAGAAAAUGUGUA